UUUGUUUUGUUUUGUUUUAAUGUGUUAUUUCAACAGCAGCACCAUCCUGCUCAUUUUAUUUGGCUAAAGUGUUUUGGAUUUUAUAGACUAUUGUUUCCUGUUACUAAAGCCCAGAAGCACCAUUUAACAUAAACGCAUGUCUUCAGUCUGAAAUAAUGGAGAAUGUUUACAGACUGCCUCUGGAAAUUUCUACACUGUGGUGGGUGGUUACGUGCUGGUCUGUGUGGACUAAAGCGUUUAAUAAUUUUGUGUUAAUGAGAACAAUAGUAUAAGUAGGAUGUGUGAGCUGUCAUUCACUACACGGAUCUGUCAUCAAUGUCAUGGAAUUUAGGUACAUUAAAUCAGCCACUUCCUGUGGAUGGAGCAGGUGCCAGAAAGAAGAGACUGCUGUAGUGAAAACACUAAUUAUUCGACUUGUAUGCAAAUUUUUUUUUUGUGGGUAGUUUUCCCGCCGCAGCCUGUGAUGUGAUGAUCUGGAGUGUCUGAAUGGAUGCCGUCCACCCCAGCACUGAGUCUCAGGAAGGGUAUGCUUUUUCCUGAUCAGACACAACGAAUCACUGAUCCGUGUGUGUGUGUGAAGCAUUUGAUUCUCCCAUCACACUAGAACAAACAAAAGCAUGUUUCUAUAGUUUAGUUUGUGGGAGAGUGAGAAUGCACAUUUAUGCAUUUCAUGGUAGAUGCAUUACAAUUGCCUCUUUUAUUUGCCAAAUUGAAACCAAUUAUGAAAUCCAAUGAAGUGAACAUUUUUGUAUUGAAUCUAAUGUUGUUUGUUUUGAUUCAUUUGAUGAACUGGAUGAUUUUUGGAGCCCCUGUGAAAGCGGUUGAAUGUAUAUGUUUGUACAGAAGUGUUUAGCUCAGAAGAUCUUAGAGAACAAAUAGAAAUGUGAGCGAAGAAAAGCAAAAUAACCUUUUUAUAAAACUUUUGUAUUAGUACAUUAACAAUGGUAAUUUUGUAUAUAUGAAGACUAGGCUUUCUGAGUAGCAGAAAGAAAAACAUUCCUACAUUUUUUUUAAAUGUAAGUUUGUCAGAAAUAAUUAUGUAAACAUGCGCAAUGUUUUAUGUGCCUUUUAUUUGGAUUGUCUAAAUAAAAACUGUAAAACAUGA
ensembl:lncRNA